rnacentral:tRNA from 1 species
GCGCGUGUAGCUCAGUUGGUAGAGCGGACGUCUUAUACACGUCUGGUCGUAGGUUCGAGUCCUACCACGCGCACCA